rnacentral:lncRNA from 1 species
UUUGAUUUCAUAGGAAAAAAGGAAGAGGAAAAGCCAACUCAUGCCCAAGAAGAACAGGCUAUUUCCUCUGAGUUUGAUGAAAAAGUAAAAGUAUCUGAAGAAGUUGCAGAAUACAAGGAGGAAGAGAAGAAAGAAGAGAAGAAACUUCAUCGAUCAAGUAGCAGCUCUAGCAGCUCCGUAAGUAUUUUCGAUCAUGGGUAAAAUUUAUCGGUACUCAUUUAUUUACAUCAAAUCAAUAAAUAUAAAAUAAUUAUGUUUCAUAGAUGCAUGUUUUACUUAAUUGUACCUAUUCUUACUUUAUUUUAUGGUAAUUAUUAACAGAGUCACAUCCAGGAUUGAAAGUUUAUGAGUUCCUAUUAUAAUUUUAAAUUAAUAUACAAUAAUAACUGAAUUCACGCUUAUAUAUUUAUUGAUAUUUAAUGAAUUUUUUAAUAAAAAUACUGAAUCUAUGCAAAAAUUACUGGCUUCUCGGAUCCAGAAGCUAUACUCUACAUCCGCCUAGCCUUUGGACAUAGAUUGAGUUGAAACUUGAAAAAAUAUUUUUGAAGUAGUUUUGGAAAAUAAUUUUUGGAAGUUGAAAUUAGUUUGGACAUACAUUUUAUUUGAAAAACAUUUGAAGUUUUGUGAGUAGGAACUGAUUUUCAUCCAAAAUCUACCAUAAACUAGAUUUUGGAAACUUAAAAAAUAUUUUCAGAAAUUUUUCAAAAACAGAUCACUAAUUUGUGGACAAACAAUGUUUUAAAAAAAAAAUGAAAAAAACUUGCCAAAAUGUAUGGCCAAACGAGGGCUUAAAUUUUUUUACACGAUCAGGUCAUAUUUACCUUAUUGUAUCAAGUAACAUGUCUCGUUUUCAAAAUUUACUUCUAGAUAUUCUUCGAAUGACUUGACAGUAUGAAAAACUAAUUACAUCGAUGGUGUAUAUAUAUAUAUAUUUUGAUCAUGUUUACAUGAAUAGCCUCAUCAUAUAGAAAAGCAUCAGCGGCUGUUUUCACGACUCGAACUUUGUAACCUUGCUGUUUGUGUACAACAAAAACUCUUUUUAUAGUUGGAUGAAGCUUAUGUUAAUUGUGAUGAUCUUGCAGAGUGAUGAAGAGGAAGAAAUAGGAGAGGACGGACAGAAAAUCAAGAAGAAGAAAAAGAAGGGUUUGAAGGAUAAGAUCAAGGAGAAAAUAUCUGGAGAACACAAGGAAGAUGAGAAGGCAGAGGACACAGCUGUUCCAGUGGAGAAAUACGAAGAAGCAGAGGAGAAAAAAGGAUUCCUAGACAAGAUUAAGGAGAAGUUGCCAGUUGGCGGCCAAAAGAAGACGGAGGAAGUGGCGCCUCCACCACCGGCUGCGGCGGAACACGAGGCUGAGGGAAAAGAGAAGAAGGGAUUUUUGGACAAGAUUAAGGAGAAAUUACCACGAUACCACUCAAAGACUGAAGAAGAAAAGGAAAAAGAGAAAGAAACUGCAUCUCACUAGAUUAUUACAGCAUGAAAAUGAAUGUUUUUAUUUGUCGCUUUUUUGUUUUUUUGUUUUUGUGUAUGUCAUGAUUGUGUUACUGCUGUUUGGUUAAGCUUUCAUUUCCUUCACUUUUUUGGGGUUUGAAGGAUAAUAGUAUUGUAUUCAUAUAUGUAAGUGCAUAUAGCAUGUGCUUAUGUAUAAAGUUUGAUGUGGAUCUUUCGUUUGUAAAAUGCAGUUGGUUUUGCUUUUCACCUUAUCUUUUGUGUUUUCCUUAAUUACCUAUGUUAAAGCAUUAGGAUAAUUAAACAAGAUAAGCCAGCAAGGUGGCCUUGUGUUUUAUUAUCAGGAGAAAGUGUACCAAUAAUAAUAGGAAUUAUGGUACCACAAUGUUUGUCAACUUCGUAAAAUUUCACGAAUGGGAUAUGGGUGUGUACGCAAAUUUUACCUCAACCCGAAAAAGUAUAGAGGUUAGUUUUCGAAAGACCCUCGGCAAUAUUUGUCAACUAAUGUGGUUAAAAUGAAUGGAGUUGUGAUUGCAUCUUCACAUGAUGCAAAAUAAGAACAAAAAUUAGAUACCAUAACUUGCCUUCGAACGGGCUUCACCUUUAAAGGAGAGUAAUCAAUCCGUGAAUGAAGAUCAAAUUUACCGCUUAAAAUGUUGUACUUCAGUGAUGACGACCUUCAAAGGAGAGUAAUCGAUCCGUGAAUGAAGAUCAAAUUUAUCGCUUAAAAUGUAGUACUUCAGUGAUGACGACCUAACAUAUAUAGGUUUUAUUCAUUCGCUCCGUAGGUGAUGCCACUUAAAAGGGUCGAUAGGCUUGUAAUUCAAGCAUCACAUGUCUAUCCUAAAAGUCUUCAAAGGAGGACUAUGAGUUGUAAGUGUGAAGGUUAAGAAAUUAAGACCGUGGGUGUGUGUGGUCUAAAGUUUAAAGUGUACUACUAUAUUCUACUCAAAUUUUUGAAAUAGGUCUGAAUCGGAUCGGAUUUAGCAUAUUUCAGAUUCGGAUUUCGAAUUUUGGAUUCUACAAAAUACAAUCCAAAUCUGAUCCGAAUUAAUAUCGGAUCGGAUCAAAUUUUAAAAUUUGGAUCGGAUCAAUAUUUUAGAUUUCGGAUCGGAUUAUUAUGCCUCAAAGUUGCAAACUCAUAUGUAUAUAUUCAUUGUAAGAGAUGCAAUACAUCAAGAACAAUUCAUGUUUCUGCAAUUAUAUGAGAGCACUAUGGUGUCAAUAUAGCUAAAUCCAGCAAUUGUAAAGGUAGAAAUUUGGAAGAAGAAAAAAGAAGAAGACUUUUGGGAGAAUUGCUAGUCUCCCAACCUUGAGGAGUCCCCAAUUUGGGGCUUCACAAAUGUAAAAGUUAAACCCAUUAGUUAUUCAUUGGUUAUCCAUUUUCUAAGUGAAUAUUGUGGUUCUUAUCCAUAUUCGAUCCGUUUUUAAAAUGUUUAUUAUCCAACCCAUUUUUAAUGGAUAAUAUGGGUGGAUACCUGUUUUAUUUUAGCCAUUUUGCCACCUCUAGUCAUCACUCACCACUCACAUUAUUAGCAUCACUCACGUUAGUACUUAUUUUGUUUACCUCGAAAAAUGUGAGUAACAAUUAAAGAUAGUUUGUGGUUUUAAAGAUAUGUGAUAAAUUCUAAUACUAGUGAUUAUACAAGUAAUAUUAAGCUUAAGUAAGAAAAGUUGGUAGGCGAAAUUGAUAUUGUUGAAGCAGAAGGAGCCUCGAGCUUGAUUACCCCAGGGACCUCGAGGUCAGCUAAGAACAAUGAAGUAUAAAGAAAAGAUAAUAAAGCUGAAGAACAAUUGGUAAACAGCUGAGUAGAAUAUUCUAUUGCAGUGAAUAAUGUGAGAUGAUCUUACAAAAUGAUUUGGGUCCCCUUUAUAUAGGAGGAGAAAACUCCAAUAUAAUACAUUCCUAAUUGUAGUAAAGAAUUCUAUUGGUACAAGUGUACAGUAACCUAGUACAGACCUGUACCAUUUCCUACAAAUCUUAUCCUUUAAUUUAUGCUCUGACCCACGUGUCCUUGAGAAAUUUUUGCUCUUUCUUGAGUGCCCUCUAGAUUGUACUGCCCUCGAGCCAGGCCUUCAAUCUGCUUCCUCGAGGUGUGUGUGCUCUAACCGGGUCUGACCUCUAUUUCGAGUCAUCCAGACUCGAACUCAUAGCCCAGUUUAAGACUUGGAAAUCGGGUUCCUUGAUUCAGACCGUAUAUAGAUAGUCCCCGCGUUUUUUAGAAUGAAAUGAUAUGAAACGAUUUGGAUUCCCGAAGUCAUUUAUGAUUGCACCACUCUUAUGACGUAAGCGUUGAAAUAACCGAAGCGUCCCGUUAGUUCUUUUCCCCAAAAAUAAUAAAUGCACGUCAGAGCCGGUCGACCAUCACUACUAAUGAACCGUCGCCGCCUUCCACUAUAUACACUUGAUUUUUCUUCUCAUUAAGGACUUUUUUACCUUGCAAUACCUAUUCUCUUCUAUACUUUUCCUUUUCACCCCCAGUUCCUCUGUCGCAUCGGCUCAAAACCUUGUUGGUUCACUCAAUUUCUUCCUUAUUUUCCUAAAGCACUGAUGGCUAAAACUUCUAAGUCUGUUCCUCAGAAAGAAGAGAACUCUACUUCUACUUCCCGUCCGGCCGGUGGUAAAUCGCCGGCUCUUCAUGAGAUCAUAUCGGGCAAAUUUUCCUUUAAAAAGGACUUUAUAGUCGAAAACCCUCCCGACGUUGUCGGCCGUCGAGAGCAUGCAUCGUGGUACAUAAGGUCAAUUGAGGAAAGUCAUCUCGAUGCUGUGAGAAGGGAGUGCAAGUGGGGAGAGGAGGUCGUUCUGCAAAUACCUUCUCAAGGGGAGGACAUCACAACUUACAUAGAGGGAUUCCUGAGUGUGUAUACAUACCCCUUUACAUUGGGUCCCCUCGACCCACUCGUGCUCGAAUUCUGCCAAAGAUAUCAAGUAACCCUGGGCCAGAUUCAUCCGUCCUUUUGGCGGAUCGUAAUAAUGAUGAGGUUCUUCAAUGAAAAGGCCGAUCUCGAGUUCACCCUUAGCCACCUCAUUUGAUUAUAUCGACCUUAACAUUUCUGAGGUUUAAUCAAACUCCAACACCGAAAAAUUAAGUCUUUCUUUGUCAGUAACAACGAAGGCAAGGAUCGAGGUUGGAUGAGCCGGUUCAUCCAGGUGAGGACCGUCGAUAUUAUCCCCGAGAAAUUCCUGCCGUUCCCCGAGAAAUGGAAUUUCGAACGUGAGUGGAAUUCUUUUAACUCUUUUCCAUAAACUUUUCUAAACUUUUUAUAAUUAUUCCUUUCCCCUCUUCGACCUCAAGGACUGGGUUCGCAGACUAGCUGCUACUUCACCAUAUGACAAACGCAAAUGGCGGGACUUGUCGAAGGGCAAGUGGGAAGUGAAACAUCAUGGUACAUGCCAUAAUGUUUCUUUCCUCAUUAAGAAUAUCUUUCUUCAUGUGACCUGAUUCCUUUAUCGCAGGUAUUAGUGAGUUCUUUGAGAUGAGGCCGCCUCCUUUCGGGGAGAAAGCAGGAUCUUCGGCUCCAAAGCCUAAGGAGGACAAUAAGAGGAAGAGGUCUUCGACGAGAGAGGACACCCAAAGCCAAACAGAGCCUACUCAGAGGCAUAGCAGAAGCGUUAUUAUCAGUGUGGACGUUGACUCAGCCCACCAAUUCAUGGAUGAUGAUGGUGACGAGAUGGAAGGUUUGACGCUUGUGACUCGAACUGGGAAAUCCUCUGAGGCUAUCAAGCCUGCUGAGAUCGGGGCCCCUACCCUCAAAGAAGGAACUUUAAAAGAAAAGGGGAAUGAAUGCCCUGCACCAUCUGAUACGACAACGGUUUCUCAGACUUCUGGAAAUACCCCAAAAGGAGCGAGUUUCGAAGCUUCUUUGCCUAAAUAGAAUGCCUCGGGUGAUCUCACCAAGGCCAUGCAUGACAGAAGGUCAACCUUUGUCGUUUUUGGCAUUCUCCGAGGAUACCAUUAGGGAUGCUCAGAACGUGAAGAUGUCCGAGCUCGGCGGAAUCCCGAGUGAAAAUGACCCCUUCCAAGGUUACUUUGCCGGGGUCUAUGAGGACGACCCAGCGGAUGCGAGCUCAAUCUUCGAGGAGGCUCAACGUCUUUGUUUAAUUGUAGUUUUAGCGGCCCUGAUGUUUCUCCACUGCCAUACUUUUCUUCUCUUGUCUAAUUAAUCGUUCCUUUCAUUUGUAUAGGCCUUUGACAAUUGAAGACCGAAUUGCGCCAUUAUGACGUCGAAUUGCGUAGGGCUUCAAGUGAGGAGAAAACACUUAGGCUUCUCCUUGACCAAAAGAAGGAAGAACUGAAACAUCUCCUAUCAGAGCUGACCAAAGCUCAUGAAUACGAGAGUGAGCCAGAAAAGCAGGUAACCUCUAUUCUAAAAAAAUACAGGCUACCUCUCCCGUCUUCGGAGGCUAAUACUUCAAUGUAUCAACUACAGUAGAAGCUAGAUAUGAUCGGGCAGCUCCGGGGCGAGGUUGAUCAAAUCCGAGCCGAGUGCAAUGAAUGGAAAGCGAAGAUAGAUGCCCUUGUUGUGGCUAAAAAUGAUGCAUUGGAGAAGGUAUCAGCCCUCGAGGUCCAACUUUGAAAUGCUCAAGGGAGCAACUGGGUUCAAGCUAGCAAAAUAGCUGAGCUCGAGGCUGGUCUUGCGAAGGCCAAGGCCGAAGUGGUGGAAGUCAGGGCCGAAGCCAGCGUAAUAUAGGCCAAGGCCGGCAGGAUGGUGGCCAUCUAUUUGAAAGUUGUUGCCGAUGCUCAGAUGGAGUUGAGAGAGGCUUCCGAUCGAGAAAAAAAAAGCAAUGACUAUGUCCGACGCCGAUCUCGAAGGGAGAUCCUCUAAGAGAUUCAUGCUAAGGGCUUUGAUCUUUCCGAGGAGAUAAACCAAGCUAAGGCAGAUGAGGCUGAUACCAAAUUUGUCCUUUCCUCCGAUGAUGAUGAUGACGCCGAAGAUGAUGAAGAGGAGGGGGUUGCCGAAGAAGUUACUCCCGGAGAAGAGGCUGGUCCCGGGGAAACGACAUGUCUGGGGGGAAAUGCCCCUCUGGAGUAGGUAGGAGGAGGUAUAAUUUUUUCUAACUUUUUGUAUAUUUUGCUUUGUAUGACCCCCGUGUAAUAUCUUUUUGUAUAUAUAAAAAGAAGCUUCCUUUGUCGUUUGCCUUCAAUUUUUCUUCAGCGUUUGUUAAAUUUUUGAUGCUCUGACCUCUGAGCGUUGAACCAAAUUCGGGGUAGAGUAGACCCUCAAAUAUUUGUAUUUUGAUCAACGAUCGAUAAUAGGUCACUACUUAAUGUUCGAUCUUCGAGCUAAGUUUUAGCUCAGGACUUUUGAGUCCGAGCUAGGUAAGGUCUCCGAGCAUGGUGUGCUUCGGCCUUAAAGCUCUUUAAAUAUUGGCCCUUAAGGUCUUUUAGGUUGGCCCUUAGACUCUUUUAGGUUGGCCCUUAGGCUCUUUUAUGUUUGCCCUUAGGCUCUUUUAGGUUGGCCCUUAGGCUCUUUAAAUUGGGCUGUUUAGGUCUCUAAAAAUGGCUAUAUAGUUUUUCCCUCAUUUCAGCUAAAUUUGAGGAGUCCCCAAUUGCUAGUCUCCCAACCUUGAGGAGUCCCCAAUUUGAGGCUUCACAAAUGUAAAAGUUAAACCCAUUAGUUAUCUAUUGACUAUCCAUUUUCUAAGUGGAUAUUAUGGUUCUUAUCCAUAUUCGACCCGUUUUUAAAAUGUUCCUUAUCCAACCCAUUUUUUAAUGGAUAAUAUGGGUGGAUACCUAUUUUAUUUUAACUAUUUUGCCAUCUCUAGUCAUCACUCACCACUCACAUUAUUAGCAUCACUCACAUUAGUACUUAUUUUGUUUACCUCGAAAAAUGUGAGUAACAAUUAAAGAUAGUUUGUGGUUUUAAAGAUAUAUGAUAUAUUCUAAUACUAGUGAUUAUACAAGUAAUAUUAAGCUUAAAUAAGAAAAGUUGGUGGACCAAAUUGAUGUUGUUGAAGCAGAAAGAGUCUCGAGCUUGAUUACCCAGGGACCUCGAGGUCGUUUAGUUAUGCCUUAGCAUGUGCUUUUGUACCCGUUGGGUUUUUCGAAGGCUUGACUUAUCGGAACCUUAUUAGUCAUUUAGCUUGUGUAGGCAUGAUCGAAUAACUUUUAAGGUUUUCCUGAAGGCUGGUAUUAUCGAAGCCUUUAGAUUAUUCGAGGGCUGAUUUUAUUGAAGCCCCUUAUAAUUUGCUUUUGCCGAGGGUAGCCUGAGUUAACCAGUUUUUUCGAAAUAUAUGAAGGCCUUUAGUUUUAUGGCGAAAGUGGACAUCUUGAGCCGCAUUAUUUCGGCCGUAUCCUUUUCAUAAGACUAUAGUCUUUUAUAUGGCCGUAGCCUUUAGUCCCCGAGUGUGAUGGCCUUAGCCUUAAUAUCGAGGGGAUACCUCUUCGAGGUCUUGUGAGCUCGAAUGUGCCUCUUUGAGGUCUUAUAAGUUCGAGUGUGCCUCUUUGAGGUCUUAUAAGUUUGAGUGUUCGAUAACUCAAAAUGUCGAUAGUUGAUAACCGCCCCCGAGUGUUUGGGUGCUUUCGGGGUUUUGGCCCUUAAGCCGUUAAAUGUGAAAAUAGUAGACUUCUUUGAGGCACAAAGUGUUUAGAUAUAUAAAAAAUUCUUUUUCAAAUAAUGCGUACAUAUUUUGCCGCUGGGGGCUCGACUGUUCUAUGUGGACACGGUUCUUUCGACCGUUUGGCCCAUUAUAACAUUCCCUAUCGAGGACCUCCUUGGCAUAAAUUGCUUUCUUCGAGGAUGCUUCCUCCGAGCAUGAUGCCCCCCAAUAUUUGAGGUUAAUUGAAAAGAAGCCUUGAAUACUUUGUUGAAUGUUCCUUAGGUAGCAUAUAGGUGUUGCCUCGUUAAAAACCUUACCGGUAAAACCCAUUUUGGAUAAAACUCGAUCUAAGGGAAAAAGAGUGCAACACAUGCUUUCAAACCCAAGGCCUUCGAGCUGAUAGAUGCCUUAAUAUCUCCAAUCGAACAUCUGCAAGGAGUUAGUUUUAAAUACAAAUGGAAAAGGGGAGAAGGUCACACCUCAGCAGUAAUAUCGCUUGAGAAUCGAUACAUUCCAAUUGUUUGGUAGUUGCUCGCCUUCCAUUGUGCUAAGUUUGUAGGAUCCUCCCUACGAUUCCGAUUAAACGGUACGGUCCUUCCCAAUUGGGGCCUAACUUCCCUUUGUUUGGGUCUCGAGUGUUGAGGGUGACUUUUCUUAGGGCCAAGUCCCCGAAUCUAAAAUAUCAAAGGUGCGUCCUUCUGUUGUAAUACUUUUCGAUCCUUUGUUUUUGCGCGGCCAUUCGAAUCAAUGCGGCCUCACGUUUUUUGUCAAGUAGUUCGCGAGAAGUGUUCAUGGCUUAGUGAUUUGAGUCCUCGGUGGCAUGCUGAAACCUACCACUAGGUUCCCCGACUUCAACUGGGAUCAAUGCUUCGGAUCCAUAUACCAAAAAAAUGGGGUCUCCCCCGUGUUCGGCUUCGAAGUUGUUCGAUAUGCCCAUAGCAUCUCGGGCAACACUUCUCUCCAUUUCCCCUUAGCAUCAUCUAACCUUUUCUUUAAGUUUUGAAUUGUAGUUUUGUUUGUGGACUCAACCUAACCGUUUGCGCUUGGGUGGUAAGGUGUUGAUAGAAUCCUUUUGAUUUUAUGGUCCUCGAGGAAUUUUGUUACCUUGCUGCCGAUGAACUGCUUUCCAUUGUCACAUGCUAUCUCGGCGGGUAUCCCGAAUCGACAUAUGACGUGGUCCCAUAUGAAGUCGAUGACUUCUUUUUCUCUGAUUUUCUCGAAGGCCUAUGCUUCUACCCAUUUUGAGAAGUAGUCAGUCAUAAAAAAAAUUUAGCUUUACCUGGUGCCGUUGGUAGGGGGCCGACGAUGUCCAUCCCCUAUUUCAUAAAUGGCCACGAGGAUAGGACCGAAUGGAGUUGUUCACCGGGUUGAUGGAUCAUCGGUGUAAAUUUUUGGCAUUUGUCAAACUUUCGAACGAACUCCUUCGUAUCCUUUUCCAUGGUAUACCAAUAGUACCCCGCUCUAAUCACCUUGCGAAUCAGAGAGUCCGCACCAGAAUGGUUCCCACAAGUACCCUCGUGGAUUUCUCGUAGUAUGUAAUCGGUAUCCCCGGGUCCCAAGCACACUGCCAGUGGUCCAUCGAAGGUUAUUCUGUACAACGUUCCAUUUUCAUCGAGUGAGAAUUGAGCUGCUUUGGUUCGAAGUGUUCUCGACUCCUUUGGGUCCGCGGCAAGCUUCCUGUGCUUCAGGUAGUCGAUGUACUUAUUCCUCCAAUCACACGUUAAACUUGUUGAAUUAAUCUCUGCAUGGCCUUCUUCGACCACUGACUUCGAUAGUUGGACGAAAAUCCCCGGGACAAUAUCAUCUUCUUCAACCGAUGAUCCCAAGUUUGCAAGUGCAUUGGCCUCAAUAUUCUGCUCUAGAGGUACAUGAUCCAGCGCCCACUCCUUGAAGCGGUGCAAUGUCACUUGAAGUUUGUCCAAGUACCUCUGCAUUCGGUGUGCUAGACAUGUUCAAGCCUGAAAUCAAAGAAUCUUUGACAAGAAAAAGUGUAAAGAAUAACAUGUGUUAUCAGAAAACUAACACUAAAACAAUUACUAUUAUCUUUAGCCCCACGAUGGGCGCCAAACUGUUUACCUCAAAUAAUGUGAGUAACAAUUAAAGAUAGUUUGUGGUUUUAAAGAUAUGUGAUAUAUUCUAAUACUAGUGAUUAUACAAGUAAUAUUAAGCUUAAGUAAGAAAAGUUGGUGGACCAAGUUGACAUUGUUGAAGUAGAAGGAUCCUCGAGCUUGAUUACCCCAGGGACCUCGAGGUCAGCUAAGAACAAUGAGGUAUAAAGAAAAGACAAUAUUAUUACAGACCCAAUGAGUGAAAUAAAUUACAGUGAAAUAAUAUUAUAAUAAAAAUUGAGGAGUUAGUAAAAUCGGGAAAAUGGGUUUAUUUUAAUAUUUGCAUCAAACGGGUAGAAAUCCUGCCUAUAGGUAUUUAAUUUGCUCAAACAUGUUCUGCUACUGUGUGUGUUAGAUAACCUGCCUAUAGGUAUUUAAUUCGUUCUGCUUCUACAUGUUUGUCAAAUAAAGUGACCAAUGUUUUAAUUUGCAUUACAACAUCCAUUAGACAUUAUGACCAUAGGGUCAUGAUAGCUUAUGUUCUACAAAUCUGCAUUUUAGAAAUCAUGCCUAUAGGAUUUUAAUUGGUUAAUGUGUUGUUAUAAUUACUCACUUAGGAGACAUGCCUAUAGGAGCUAAAACCAGUUUCUAUCGCUAAAUGUAGAAAUCCUGCCUAUAGGAUAUUCCCACUCGCUUUUAAGUGCUAAUAUUGAACUUUUAACACUGUUUCGUUGUUACUAUUAGAAAGCAUGUCUAUAGGAUCAAACCAGGUAAUUCUGAAUGUCUUCCAUGACUAUCACUACUAACUACUGCGUAAAUCACCUAGAUAUCAUUUCUAUAGGUUUAAUUGCUUGCAACUUGCAAUCAUUAGGCAAUUGUGUAGUCGCUCAGAAGUUGUAUCUAAAAUGGCACCUUGCAUAUGAAACUGACUGCAUUUUUGAAUUCCUAAGUCACAUAGAAACCAUAUCUACAGGGCUUAAUGACUUUAACGCGUCUCAGUUCUGGAACUGUCAAAUGCCUAAUUUGUUUGCGUGCAUUUGUUUUCUAAGUGUGGAGGCUAACUUGAGCCUUUAAUUGCUUUUACAUGAAGUCCAACUUAUUUUGUAUGUCGUCUAGUUUUCUCAUUUUGAGCAAUCUAAGUUAAGUCUAGAACCACCCAAAAUAGAGGUCAGAUGCCUCUUGGACUAUAGACAUGGGACGGGUAGUGCACCCAUAAAGUACGGCUUAGAAUCAAUUAGUGCGCCUUAUGUAACAACUUAAAGAUAGUAAUCGGGUAGCAGGAGAUGAUAGUCUGUGCCCGCUGAAUAAUACGAGUAACACCUCAUCUCGAGAGAGUUAUGAAGUAUUAUUUAUGUUGCACGGGGUGAUCCUUUAGGCUAAAAAACUUAGGACCCCCCUCCUAUCUUGUCUUAAACUCAAUUAUUUUGUUUAUUGGUAGAUUUUUUAUAAUAAUCGCCCAACUUCUUGUCUUUCCCUCUUGUUUUGGACUAAUUCAUAUAAUUCGAGUCCGGCCGGGACCCACAGUUGUGGACCUCGAAGAGUGCCUAACACUUAUUUUCGAGGUAAUUUGAUCCCUUACCCGGUCUUUGGUGACGCAAACUGGUUAACCCUGAGUUAUUUGCAAAUAGGUGCCCUAACUCACCUCAAACCCGUUAGAUGACGACUCUCUCUUUUAACACUUUGUUUAAAAAAGUUAUCACGUGUCGAAACUCGUUUUCGCGAAAAAUAUGGGCGCGACAUCAUGACUGUGACACAAAUCUUGACAGGCACCAUAACUCGCUGAAACUUUUGCGGAGCGUACUUUAAAAUCCGACGCGAAGCUAUUUUCUCAAGCUUCUAUUAUGGGGUAAGCUUCUAUUCGCUGAAGCUUCUAUUAUAUUUGCCUAUUUACACUUCCAACCCAAACUCCACCGCACCUCACGAUGUUAUCUUUUCUUACUCGGUGCUGUUAUAGUCACUUAGUUUUCUUUUUAAACAAGAAUGUUAUUAUUUCCACUUUGACCCAUGUUAUACCCAUCGUUUUUACUCAAUUUAUGACAUGGCAAAUCUCAAAAUUUCAUGAUACAAUAUGUACGUCGCUUUAUCUGUCUAUCUAUCUAUCUAUCUAUUUAUCUAUCUAUAAAAGUACGAAUAUUUCACAUUAAAUAUUGAGCGAUUAAAAUAUUUUAAAAUAUUAAUCGAUUUUUGUGCCUUUAAAUAUUUGUGUAGUGAACCAAGUUAAAGGUGGAGAUAAUUGUAACUAACUACGAUUUUGAUUUUUGAAGAAUCCUUGUUUGCCAAAAAAAACUAUUUGCUAAUGAGUCUCAAUUCUGAUAGGAAUUCUUUCCAUCUUUGAUGGACUUUCUCUACUCCUAUUAAUUGACCUUUUUUUUAGUUUUUAAAAUGCUAUAUCCCACAAACUGUUCAAGACAACAAAAUUUCUUUUUUCAUCGUCAUGAUUUCUAACUUCAUAUAUUCUUUAUCUCGAGAAAGUUCAUCUUCAUGUUAUUAAAGCUAUUUCUCUAUCUUGGAUUUCAAUUAACGUACGUUCCUUGUUUUAAUUUUUUUAAUCUAAAUAAGGUAAUGUCUAUUCAUUGAUUAGUGUUUCUUUUCUUUUCCUCACGAUGUGUCAGUGUCACGUUUGUUGAUAUUUUAGUUGGUAUUUUUUAUAUUCCGACUUAUUUGUGAAAUCCCAAACCAUAAGAAUAUAUAUAUAUAUAUAUAAUUUUUUGCCUAACAUGUCCAUUUACCCUUAAAAUUGAAUAACAAUUAAACUGAUAAGUGGUUUUAAGGAUAUGUAAUUUCACCUAGCACAAAUUGAUAAAUAUGAUGGUUAAUGCUAGAAAUUUGACAGUAAAAUAAAGCAAACCAGUAUAAAAUGCAACUUGGCUCUCGAGCUAGAUCGCCCUCGAACCGACUGAGAAUAUAGUUAAGAAAUAUGAACGGAACUGAAGAACAAAAGAGUUUAAGAGUGAAAAGAGUAUUAUAUUGCUUUGAUAUGCGAGAAUUAGAUAAUUACAAAUGAUUAGAGCUCCCCUUUAUAUAGUAGAGGAAUUCUACUUAUGGUACAAUUCUAAAUUCAGAAGAAAAUCUCAUGAUUGGCUAAACAGCUGUUCUUGAUCUGAUUUGUGCCGAGAUUUCCGCCACGAUCCUCGACCGGUCACGGAUAUCUCGACUUUUCGUUAGUGGGCUAUCUUCGGUCUCGCUUGAUGUCUAUCUCGUUUGGUCUCGAUCCUUACUGGUAUCAAUUUCGAUCGGUACUUCAAAUCCCGAGCUUGGUACCACACCUUCAUGUCUCGGUCAUAUAUAACACAGGGCUGAUCCUCGACCCACCAUUCUGGUCUCGGUUAAUUAACAAAAUUGGGUGAUCCCGAUUUCGACCGUAUACAGAUAGUCCCCUCAUUUCUUGAGUGUGAUGACAAGAAAUGAAUUGAGACUGCGAUAUUUUCCUUGAUUUGUCAUGACGUUAGCACUGUGACGUAAGCGACUGAGGUGAACGAAAUGUGUCAUCGGUAUAGUUCCCCAGGCAUUUAAUGUGCAUCAGUUGAUGGUCGGCCACUACCAGUCUUUGAACCGUCGCCGUGAAACCCAUAAAUAGGUUCCUUUUCCAUUCUUUCAAACUUUACUUUCAACCUCUUCUACUCUAAUCUUCAAAGUUUUUUGCAUCCCUCAAUUUUUUCAUCUUCAAAUCUUUAAGUUCCAUUGUUGAUUGUUAAUUCCUUCUAAAACACCAAAUAUUAUCAUCUCCAUUAUACUUUGACUUCAAAGCCUAAUGGCGAAAACGUUUAAAAAUGUUCCAUAAAAAGAAAUUGCCUCCUCAUCUCGGCCGGCCAGCGAGAAAAUAGCGGUGGCGCCACGCCCUGAGGAAUGUGUUCCCGGGGGGGGGGGGGGUAUUAUUAGCUUUGACUUUAAAAUCGAGAAAACCUCAUCGGUCCCCGGUCAAUGCGAGCUGGUAUCGAGAUACAUAUGCUCGAUAUCCGAGAAUUCCUCAAACAAGUGAAGAAAGACUGUAACUGGGAAAACAAAGAAGUAGUGAUACCAGGCCCUAUUACGCUGGGUCCCUUCGAUCCAGUCAUCGUGGACUUAUGCAGAAAGUACCAAGUAAUCCUCGGACAAAUCCACCCCUCUUUCUGGAGGAUUGUAAUAUUGCUCCGAUUCUUUGUGAGCAAAAUCAACGGUCUCCCUUUCACCAUCGAUCACCUUAUAAGGUUGUAUAGCCCCCGACUCUACCGAGGUGGGCUAAUAAAACUUCAACGCCGGGCUACCAAGACACUUAUCCCGAGCAUAGAUGAGGACAAAGAUCGAGGUUGGAUGGGUUGGUUCGUCCGAGUGAAGACCUCAGACCUAAUUUCGGCUGAGAGCAUGUCGUUUCUCGAGAGGUGGAAUAUGAAACGUAAGUAUGAUUCCAAUAUUAGCUUCUGUUUGUCACUUUUACUUAUUCAUUUUUCCUUAUAGACAUUUUUUCUCGGUGUAGCUGUUGCUUGGAUGUCGAGUGCGGUCCCUCACCUCGAGAGUUAGGUUAGGAGCUUGGUCUCGACAUCUACAUAUGUUGAGCGCGCAUGGCACGAUCUGUUAAAGGGCCGGUGGGAGGCUAAAAAACAUGGCAAGUCUCGUUCUUGUACUUAAUGAUUUACUAAAAUGCCUCUCCGAGCUUACUCGGUUUCCCUUUUUUGCAGGUCUUGGGAAAGAUGCAACCAUGAGGCCCACGUCCGGCGGUGAAAAAGCCCCUCUACCCAUCUCAAAGCCACCUAAGGAGGGCAAGAGAAAAAGGGCCUCGACUUCCGAUAGGCAAGAGCCGAAAAAAGAGAGUGGCUCGUAAGCCAAAAAAGAAUGCCAUUCCUCUGUCUGUGGAGGCAGCCCAACUCCUAAGGGAGAAAGAAGAUGAAAAAGGAAAGAAGGAUGAUUUCGGUCUGGUGGCUUACAAAGGAGCUAAUACCGAGGGUCUAAAGGCCACUAGAUCAGUCGAAGCUGGAAAUAUUCUGCCUCUAUCUGACAGGGUCCAAGAGGGGGAUUCAAUUGGAGUCCCUGGGCCGACUAGAGCCGAAGGUGCCUCACCUCGGGGUAAGAAAGCAGUAAAAAUGUCUGUGGAGUCCGGUCUCGAGGCUCCUCGAGAUGGAGAGAACGCCCCAAGAGACCUAUUUGGGGCAAUAGAAAUUGGAGACUCCCCGUCGCUUCCUUCAUUCUCCAAGGAAAUGAUUCAGGAGGCUCGGGCCAUGAAUACUCUUUCUAUAGAAGGAGCCCAUGGAGGGGAAGACCCUUUCCAUGGUUAUUUCGCUGGGGUCGAUGAUAUUGCUGGCCUGAGUGACUUAGAUAUAUCGAGGAAGAGAUCGAAACUUCCUCGAGUUUCAGACUAACUAGUCAGUUUUCGGCCCCUAGUGUCAAUCCCGGGUGCAAAAGAACAAUCAUUAUCUCGAUCCCGGAGAAUGCACGAGUUUUUAUCGCCCUCGUAGCGGUGUCUAGUUACCUUCGGAGUCUAGUCACGGAGGAGGACCAAGAUCUGAUGGACGAGGUGGGAGCACCAUGUCUCUUUAACAAGGUCCAACAGGCCUUGAAUCAGGUAAGCCCCAAUUCCUUUUGUCAAUACCAAUUUCCAUACCUGUGUUUUUCUCUUCUUGCCUAAUUCUUUUUCUUCUAUUUGUGUGGGCCUCGGUGCUUCAUCACGAAUCUUUCUCUGGGUCUCGAGGAGAACUGAGCCGACAUGAGGCCGAAAUUCAAAGGCUCACCGAGGAGAAAAAUGCCCUCAAGCUUCUCAGUGAGCAAAGCAGAAGCCAAGGGCCUUCGAGCUGAGCUAGCUACGGCUCAGAAAGAACAAAGUAACCUGGCCGAGUAGGUAAUAAAAAUCUUAGAAGUUUAUGACAUCAGUUCGGGAGUGACAGCUAACAGUUCGAUCCCACGGGUCCAACAGAAGCUCGAGAUAAUCGGGCAGCUUUGUAAAGAAGUAGAUGCGAUGAAGGCGGGAACAACGGCAUAGAAGCAAAAAAUGGACCAUCUUGCCUUAGAGAAGGAGUCUGCUCAAGCUCAACUAACCACAGUUGAGAGUCAACUCCAAAGCUUGAAAGAGAAAAACUUGGUGCAAGCCAAGAAAAUCGAGAAGUUCCAGACUGGGUUGGGUUCAGCUGCCUCCGAUCGAGAGAGGCUGGUCACAGAACUUGUAGUGGCCAAAUCCGAGGCUGAGACGGCCAAGGCCUCUGCUGAGGCAAUUGUGGUCUUCUACUGAUCCGACGCCGAAGCCGCUCAAGCUCGAGCAAAGGAAGUUGUUGAAGUUUCUCAAGUUCGAGCACAUUGGGUUGCUGAGUUUGCCAAGUGCCAGUCUCGAAGGGAGAGUCUCGAGGAGGUCCACGCUCGUGGCUUUGAUCUUACUGCCGAGAUAGAAAAUGGAAAAGAACUUGAAGCUGAAACCAAAGCGUUGGCCUCUCCCAAUGAUGAUGAUUCCGGGAGCAUGAGCGGGUCCAAGAGUGUGGAAAACCCCGAGGGUGAAGAUGUUGCUUCUGGAGAAGAUCAGGCACUUACGAUCUUUCUUUUUGGGUUUUUGUAUGUAAUCUCGAUCGAGCCACGUUGCCCUUGUAAAUAACCUUUUGAUAUAUAUAAAGAUCUUUUUUCCUUUCUGUCUUGUCUUGUGAAAUUUUUACUUCAUUUCUGCCUUAUGAAACUUUUGCUUCAUUUAUGCCUUAUGAAAUUGUGUUCAUAAGUUCGAGGCUUAGGCAAUGAAACUGAACUAGUAUAGUUAUUACGAUUGAGUGAGUUCUUGCUCGAACUCGAAGUAAGGUAACCCCUAGGUUUUAUUUGAGCGAGGACGAUCUCACAAACUCAAAAGCAAAAAAUAGCCCUUAGGCUUUUGUAUUAGGCCGAUAUGGCCUUUGAAAAGAGAAUUCUUUAUGGCUUUCUCCCCUUUUCGGCUUGAAAAGUUUUAAUCAUUCGUAUUUGUAAAAAUCUAUAAUGCCUUAACACGAAAUAAGGAAUUGUUCGAGCGUUCAAACAAUUUUGUACUCAUUAGAGUUUUAGAGGCUUGAUAUUAUCGAAGACCUUGGUAAUUUUGCUGAGGGUAGCUUUUUUAACCGGUUUAUUAAAAUAUUCGAAGGCCUGAUUUAUUACGGAAUUUGGACAUCUCUGAACCGUGUUUGUUUGGCCGUAGCCUUUUUAGUUUGGGACUUGCCUCUUGGGCUUAUUUUCCCGUUUCACUUCGAGCUUGCCCGAAGUGUCAGUCCCCGAAUGGGGUGGCCGUGACCUAUACAAAUUGAGGGUUGCCCUUAAGGUCUUAUGAUCUCGAAGUUUUAAUAAUUCGAUCUCGUCUAUUUUUCGAAUGACAGUCCCCGAGUGUGGGGUUAGUUGUUCUAACUUUCGUUAUGAUCGGCCCUUAAGCCUGUUUACACAAAAGAUCAAGAGUAUGAAAUUGUAAAGUAGAAAACUUUUCUAAGGCAUGAGAUAUCGACAAGGAAAAAUACUUCUCCUAAUAGAUGAUUAUACAUGCGUACAUGUUUGAUGUUAGGGCUCGAGCAACCUAUAUGGGCACGGUUUAUUUGACCUUUUGGCUCUUACAAAAUUUACCUAUCGAGGCCCCGUUGUCAUGAAGUAAUUUCCUUGCAACAAAGCUGACAUUCUAGGGUAAUGCCCCUAGUAUUCGAGGUCAAUUGUAAAGAAGCCUCAGAUACUAUUGAAUUGUUCUAAGUUAGCACGAUCAAUGUUUGCCUCAUUAAAAACCUCGGCAGAAAACCCAUUUGGGACAAAAUUGGUCUAAGGGAAAAAGAGUGCAAUGCGUGCUUUCAGACCUAAAGACUUUGUGUUGAAGAAUCCAUCGUCGUUCUUGAUCGGACAUGUGCAAUGGUUAGUUUAAAAUAUAAAUGAAAAUAGAAGGGUCAUACCUUAGAAGUAGUAUUUUUUUAGGAGCGAUAUGUUCCAAUUGUUCGGUAAUUGUUCGUCGUUCAUCAUGCCGAAAUUGUAGGAUCCUUUUCCGAUGAUGUCGAGGACCUGAUACGAUCCCUCCCAAUUUGGACCUAGUUUUCCUUUAUUCAGAUUUCAAGUGUUAAGGGUGACUUUUCUUAGCACCAAGUACCCAAUUUUAAAAUAUCGAAGAUUGGCUCUUCGAUUAUAGUACCUUUCGAUCCGCUGUUUUUGUGCGGAAAAUCGAACGAGGGCGGCUUCGCAUCUUUUGUCCAAUAAUUCUAGCCUUGUAUUCAUGGCAUCGUGAUUCGAUUCUUCUGUUGCAUAUCGAAAUCUGAGGCUAGGUUCCCUGACCUCGGCUAAGAUAAGAGCUUUGGCACUAUAGACUAAAGAGAACGGUGUUGCCCCCGUACUAGACUUUGACGUUGUGCGGUAUGCCAGAACCUCGGGAAGUAUUUCUCUUCACUUUCCUUUGGUGUCGGUCAGUCUCUUCUUAAGAUUUUGGAUAAUGGUUUUGUUGGUCGAUUCGGCUUGUCCGUUCCCACUGGGAUGAUAAGGUGUCGAUAAAAUUAUUUUGAUCAUGUGAUCCUCGAGAAACUUAGUCACUUUGCUGCAGAUUAAUCAUUUUCUAUUAUCAGGCAUCCCGAAUCGACAUAUAAUGUUGUCCCAAAUGAAUUCUAUGACUUCUUUUUCUUUGACUUUCUCGAAAGCAUGUGCUUCAACCCACUUAGGAAAAUAGUCAGUCAUAAAUAAUAUAAAUUGGGCUUUACCUAGGGCCAAUGUGAGAGGGAUGAUGAUAUCCAUUGCCCAUUUCAUGAACGACCAAGGGGAUAAGACCGAGUAGAGCUGCUCCCUGGGCUGGUGAAUCAUUGGCGCAUACCUUUGACAUUCGUCGCAAUUUUGUAUCCUUUUCCAUAUCGACCUAGUAGUACCCUGCUCUGAUAACUUUGUGAACCAAUGAUUUGGCACCGGAAUGAUUUCCACAAGUGCCUUCGUGAAUCUCCUGGAGGACGUAGUCAGUAUCUCCCGGUCCCAAACAUAUUGCCAAUGGUCCAUUGAACAUUCUCUUGAACAGCAUUCCAUCUUCGGACAAAGUGAACCAUAUUGUCUUUGUGCGUAGAGUUCUAAACUUCUUUGGAUCUGAUGGGAGCUUUCCAUUCUUUAGGAAUUCUAUGUACUUGUUUUUCCAAUCCCAUGUCAAACUUGUAGAGUUUAUUUUGGUGUGGCCUUCUUCGAUCACUUAUCUCGAGAGUUGUACGACGGUCCCCGAGUUAAGUUCGUCAUCUUCGACCGAUGACACCAAGUUUGCAAGGGCAUCGGCCUCGCUAUUCUAUUCUUGAGGUACAUGUUGUAAGAUCCACUCUUUAAACCAAUUUAAAGUUACCUGUAGCUUGUCCAUGUACCUCUGCAUUCAGUCCUCUACGACUUCGAAAGUUUUGUUGACACUGUUUACCACGAGUAGGGAAUCACAUUUGGCCUUGAUGACCUCUGCUCCCAAACUUUUAGCCAACUCGAGACCUGUAAUCAUGGCCUCAUACUCGGCCUCAUUGUUAGUUAAUUUCAAAGUUCUGAUAGAUUGUCUAAUUAUAUUAUCUGUGGGUACUUUAAAAUGAUACCCAACCCGGACCCCUUCAUGUUCGAAGUGCCAUCCGGGAAGAAGGUCCACGCCCCUGAUGAUGUACAUUUUAAUAACAGUUCUUUUUCGACCUCUAGUACGAGGGCUAGCGUGAAGUCGACCAUAAAGUCUGCCAAGAUUUGAGACUUGAUGGCUGUUCGGGGUCAAUACUCGAUAUCGUACCCACUAAUCUCGACGACCCAUUUGGCCAAUCGACCCAAAAGUUCGGGUUUGUGCAAAAUAUUACAAAGGGGAUAAGUAGUUACAAUACAUAUUGGAUGGCAUUGGAAAUACGGUUUUAAUUUCCUAAAGGCGCUUAUUAAAGCAAGCGCUACUUUUUCUAAGUGAGGGCAUCUGGUCUCGGCCUCACCUAAGGUUCGACUAACAUAGUAAACAAGGAAUUGCAUACCUUGUUCUUCU